rnacentral:lncRNA from 1 species
AGAACACCCCAAAUAAUGCUGUACUCAGCAAAAGCCUGUGCACCUGGAAUAGCUGUCUCUGAGCAGUUUUUCCUCGCAAAAAUGUGCAGAGUGCUUCACCCUGGAGCUUUUGACUGAAAUGGAGGAUGAAGGGAAUCUGGUGGGUACCAAGGACAAACUCUUUAAGGGAAAAUGCUACCGCCAUUUGGACAACAGUGAAAACUUUAGUUCUGCAAUCAGAGUAUCAAAUAGAGAACAGCGUUUGCUCAUAUGCCUUUUCCUUGGGGGUUUGCCUCCAGAACUUCUGAUGGCAGAGCUUCCCAACAAAUCUGAAUCUAUGUUGAAGAUCAAAAUGAAGAUAUGCAGUUGUACAGGAGAUACUUGUGGGCUACUUGCAUUUUUGUUCAGUCUUGAAUACUGUUCUUUAUCUGUACAGUAA